AAUAUUGAAAAAAAGGGUUGAAAUUACAAAGGAGGUCAAAAGAUUACAAAUUACACAUGUAGGUAUGUUUUUGAAUUUCUAUAUCCAUUAGGAACAUCCAUAAAAAAAAAAUCAAAAUUUUUAAAUUGCUUUAUUCAAGGUUGAGAACCUAAAAUAAUGGAGCAUUUUGAUCAUUUUACCCCCAAUCAUCAUUUUGUUAUAGG
rnacentral:lncRNA from 1 species